rnacentral:rRNA from 1 species
UACGUAGGUCCCGAGCGUUGUCCGGAUUUAUUAGGCGUAAAGCGAGCGCAGGUGGUUUAUUAAGUCUGGUGUAAAAGGCAGUGGCUCAACCAUUGUAUGCAUUGGAAACUGGUAGACUUGAGUGCAGGAGAGGAGAGUGGAAUUCCAUGUGUAGCGGUGGAAUGCGUAGAUAUAUGGAGGAACACCGGUGGCGAAAGCGGCUCUCUGGUCUGUAACUGACGCUGAGGCUCGAAAGCGUGGGUAGCGAACAGG